rnacentral:misc_RNA from 1 species
CGCACAUUGCACCCGGUGGUAUUCCGCCGGGUAUGCCUGUUCGAGCGUCAUUCUAACCCCUCAAGCCUGUCUUGGUGUUGGGGACUGCGAAUCUUGCAGCCCUAGAGUCGAGUAGCGUCACCUGCGGGUCCUAAGCGUAGUAAUUUCUCCUCGCUACAGAACCUGCCGGUGGAUAGUGUAAUCCCAGCGAAAGCUGCGUGUCCUGCUAUAAAACCCCCCAUUUUUCAUGUUUGACCUCGGAUCAAGUAGGGAUACCCGCUGAACUUAA